GGGGUUAAAGCAACUUCCGGGGGAAUAUUGACUUUUGUUUCCAGAUUUUACAAUUUGCUUCAUCCCAUCUGAGCAGACGUGAGUUUAGAACUCUGUAUCCCGUAACAUACGACCUUCUACCAGCAACACUGAAUCACCACCAGACACACCGUCCGUUCUGUCUCCAGAUAUUGUAUCUAACAACUCAGCGUCGUGGAAGGGAAGCAGCCCUGCAGCUGUCUGGGGGCUGUGUUCUAAAGAACAAACACUUGGAGCGUAGAGCGAGAGCUGAAGCCAAGUUCUCCCCGAUGAACCUCCAUGGAUCUAUUAAACAGGGACUUUAGUAUGGAUUGCUAGCAGAGUCUGCCCUCCUCUUACCUUCU